rnacentral:rRNA from 1 species
UACGGGGGGAGCAAGCGUUGUUCGGAUUUACUGGGCGUAAAGGGCGCGUAGGCGGUCGUGACAAGUCACUUGUGAAAUCUCCGGGCUUAACUCGGAACGGUCAAGUGAUACUGUCGGACUAGAGUACAGAAGGGGCAACUGGAAUUCUCGGUGUAGCGGUGAAAUGCGUAGAUAUCGAGAGGAACACCUGCGGCGAAGGCGGGUUGCUGGGCUGAUACUGACGCUGAUGCGCGAAAGCCAGGGGAGCGAACGGG